AGUCGAACGCUUCUUUCCUCCCGAGUGCUUGCACUCAAUUGGAAAGAGGAGUGGCGGACGGGUGAGUAACACGUGGGUAACCUACCCAUCAGAGGGGGAUAACACUUGGAAACAGGUGCUAAUACCGCAUAACAGUUUAUGCCGCAUGGCAUAAGAGUGAAAGGCGCUUUCGGGUGUCGCUGAUGGAUGGACCCGCGGUGCAUUAGCUAGUUGGUGAGGUAACGGCUCACCAAGGCCACGAUGCAUAGCCGACCUGAGAGGGUGAUCGGCCACACUGGGACUGAGACACGGCCCAGACUCCUACGGGAGGCAGCAGUAGGGAAUCUUCGGCAAUGGACGAAAGUCUGACCGAGCAACGCCGCGUGAGUGAAGAAGGUUUUCGGAUCGUAAAACUCUGUUGUUAGAGAAGAACAAGGACGUUAGUAACUGAACGUCCCCUGACGGUAUCUAACCAGAAAGCCACGGCUAACUACGUGCCAGCAGCCGCGGUAAUACGUAGGUGGCAAGCGUUGUCCGGAUUUAUUGGGCGUAAAGCGAGCGCAGGCGGUUUCUUAAGUCUGAUGUGAAAGCCCCCGGCUCAACCGGGGAGGGUCAUUGGAAACUGGGAGACUUGAGUGCAGAAGAGGAGAGUGGAAUUCCAUGUGUAGCGGUGAAAUGCGUAGAUAUAUGGAGGAACACCCGUGGCGAAGGGGCUCUCUGGUCUGUAACUGACGCUGAGGCUCGAAAGCGUGGGGAGCAAACAGGAUUACAUACCCUGCUAGUCCACGCCGUAAACGAUGAGUGCUAAGUGUUGGAGGGUUUCCGCCCUCCGCUGCUGCAGCAAACGCACUAGCACUCCGGCCUGGGGACGACGACCGCAAGUUGAAACUCAAAGGAAUUGACGGUCGCCCAGCACAAACGGUGACGCAUGUGGAUCAUCCUAAGUA
rnacentral:rRNA from 1 species